GUCCGUCCAUAUUAAUUUGGGAUAAAUUCGGGUUAGAGAUUCGGGUACCCGAGAAUUUACACGGAUCCGGAGCCGAAUCCGGAUAUUUUUUGGCAGAUAUGAGAACGGGUUCAGGAGGACUAUACCUGACGGAUACGGAUUAUCCGGGUUAUAAAACUAGAUUAUUACCCGGAUAUGUAUGUUUAGUUUAACUGGCAGCAUGUUAAAGAAAGAGGGCCCAAGCCGAGCAAGGACACAAUCUGGUGCCCGAUGGAGACCAUAGGCUGUAAGCCUGUAAUGCACCCACAACAUACAUGCAGUCAUCCAGUCAGGCACACAACCGCACUGCCGCAGAGAUAGAGCCCGCCGUCACCCGCCUGGCCUCCGUCACACGUCCAGCAGCGCCCGCCCAGCCUCCGUCGCCUCGCCUCCCGCCCACCUCACCGGCCAUAGAGGUAAGUCCUCUGAACUACAAAUUAAGAGUGUUGAAUGCUGAUUAGUGAUGAACCGGUAUCGGAUAAUAAUAAGAAGAAAGAAAAAAAAGAAAUUUCUAGCUACAUUGUUACUAAACCAGAUACAUUCGUAUUUUGAAUAAAUACAAAUAUUCAAUAGCUAUUGUCUAUGUGUUAUAUAUGGUUGUUGCUCUAGCUUGAUAUCCUCAUAAGUAUUCGUACCCGGGAAUGUUCAAUCCUACACCCGGGACCCCUUUCCUCUAUAGAUAUAAGUAGAGUACAAAGAUAUACCCUACGUCUAGGUAUCCCACAGGCCCUAUAACAAACAAAUUUCUCGAUUGCUCAUCUUCCUAGCUAUGUCCUUGUUCAUCCCUUGCACCUUUCCCCAAUGUCACUACCUUCGGCCCUCCUCCUGGCCCAUUUUCACCACCCACUAUCUCCGCUUUCUCUCUUCUACACCACUCACCUUUGUGUGAAUCUUGCGGGGGCGGCCUCCCCCACCCUAUGUCCUUUCUCUCCCACCUUCAUGACUCGACAACCUGGCUAGCGAAUGACGAUAACUCUAACUCCUUCCUGCUCCUUUCUAGCUUAGGAGACAAGAUGCAUGUGGUCACAUAUUGUAUGACCCUCUUGCUGCCACCUUCACUGUAUUGAAGACGAAGAUGGAGCUAGGACCAGCUAGCCAUGAGCUAAGGGGGGCAUGAUGAUAGUGGCGGUGGCCUAGUGGAAGUGGAUUAAUUUGGAGCUUUCUCGUCAUCCCUCGAGGAGACAGAGGUAUCGACAUCUCACCAAUAGGGAUAGGCUAGCUGGAGGCGGUCGAUAGGAUGGGAUGCAAACCUACCGAAGCCAAGCUCAUGGUUGGCGAGCUCCACCAUCCAUCCACCAGUCUAGUAGUGCGAGUAAGUUGGGUGUGGUGUUCAUAUGCUAGUUGAUUUGUACGAUGAAUCAACGUGGAGUAGGUGAAUAUUUUAGCAAAUUUGUAUGAAGUUGAGAAAUAUGUAUUUAAUGUAAUUUGUGAAAUGUUAUGUUUUUGUAGGGAACCUGAUUUGCAUAGCAAUUUGCAGCCUGUGAUUUUCAAAUUUAUGGGAAAUCUACAAUCUUGAUGUGCACCAAUUUUAUUUUGGAUUUGGAUGAACUAACAUCUCCAUCUGAG
rnacentral:lncRNA from 1 species